rnacentral:ncRNA from 1 species
UUGGUCACAUCUUCUCGGCCGUUUAUAUAUGAAAAUGUAUAAAUUAUCAUUUCACUAUAUGCUGGGAUACCCUUAGUUAGUAGUAACUUGUUACUAACUAAUAAGGAGAAUCAGCAGGAAAUCUGAAUAAUUAUCUUCAGAGAUCUUCAGAGACUAGACGUGAAAUAUCCUAGUUCACCUAAUUUUAUUAGUUAUUAAUUAAUGAGUGAAAGGAUAAAGAUAUAGUCCGAACUUUUAUGUAAAUAAAAG